UAAUUAACUAAAGAAUUAAAGCAAAAAAUGACUAGUAGUUUCUAGCUAAUCCCCUUGAAGCUGCCACUUUAUUUUGAUAUAUAACCAAAUAAAAUAGAGACAUAUAGUUUUCAAACAAAUUCCCCCUUCUUCAAGAACCCAAUUUUCUAGCUUCUGCUUCAUUUCUUAGUCUUUAAAAUCAUAAAAAACAAAAAUAAAAUUUUAGUGUGAUCUUGUGUUUUUUAGAAAAAGAUGAAUGAUCCCAAGUAUGCUUAUCCUUAUCCUGCUCAAGGUUAUUAUCAAGGACCUCCAGUAAUGGCACCUCCACAGUAUCAAUAUGGUGCUCCACCUCCAAGAAGAGAGCCUGGUUUUCUUGAAGGAUGCCUUGCUGCUUUGUGUUGCUGUUUCCUUGUUGAUGAAUGCUGCUGUGAUCCAUCCAUCAUUUUUGUUAGUUGAAUUUUUUUUUUUAAAAAGGUGUAGAUUGUUCCAUAAAAUAGUUUAUGUACCUUGUUACAAAUUAAUGGAAUGUAAUUUCUUUAAGGACAUUUAAAUUAAA